GACGUAGGGCGCGAGCGUUGUCCGGAUUUAUUGGGCGUAAAGAGCUCGUAGGCGGCUCGUUGCGUCGGCUGUGAAAAACCCGCAGCUCAACUGUGGGCUUGCAGCUGAUACGGGCGGGCUUGGAUUCGGUGAGGGGAGACUGGAAUUCUGGUGUAGCGGUGAAAUGCGCAGAUAUCAGGAGGAACACCGGUGGCGAAGGCGGGGUCUCUGGGCCGAUAUCGACGUGGAGGAGCGAAAAGCGUGGGGG
rnacentral:rRNA from 1 species